CCUACGGGUGGCAGCAGUGGGGAAUAUUGCUCAAUGGGGGAAACCCUGAAGCAGCAACGCCGCGUGGAGGAUGAAGGUCCUCGGGGUGGAAAACCCUUUUUUUAGGGAAGAAAAUGACGGUAUCUGAAGAAUAAGCCCCGGCUAACUCCGUGCCAGCAGCCGCGGUAAUACGGAGGGGGCAGGCGUUAUACGGAAUCACUGGGCGUAAAGAGGGCGUAGGCGGGAUAGCAAGUCAGUUGUGAAAUCCCAGGGCGUAACCAUGGAACUGCAUGUGAAACUGUUCUUCUAGAGUACGGGAGAGGUAGGCGGAAUUCGUGGUGUAGCGGUGAAAUGCGUAGAGAUCAGGAGGAACACUGGUUGCGAAGGCGGCCUGCUGGAACGGAACUGACGCUGAUGCGCGAAAGCGUGGGGAGCAAACAGGAUUAGAUACCCUAGUAGUC
rnacentral:rRNA from 1 species